rnacentral:ncRNA from 1 species
AUUAGGCGAGAAGACCCUGUGGAGCUUGAGAUAAAUAACUUAAAUGACAACCAUUAAUAUAUUCCUAAGGGAUCAAACCUAUGAAAACUUUAAGUUAAAUCUUUGAUUGGGGUGACCUUGGAGCACAAAAAAACCUCUGAAUGAUAUAACCAAGAUCAACUAAUCUAAGUGCUAUAAGCCAAUAAUUGACCCAAAUUUUGAUCAAUGGAACAAGUUACCCCAGGGAUAACAACAGCACAAUUCUAUUUAAGAGCCCAUAUUGAUAAUUAGGGUUUAUGACCUCGAUGUUGGAUCAGAACACCCAAAUGGUGCAGCUGCUAUUAAAGGUUCAUUUGUUCAAGGAUUAAAAUCCUACAUGAUCUGAGUUCAGACUGGAUAAAUUCAGGUCAGUUUCUAUCUAU